rnacentral:rRNA from 1 species
ACGCUGGCGGCACGCUUAACACAUGCAAGUCGAACGCAGUAGCAAUACUGAGUGGCAGACGGGUGAGUAUAAUGUGGGAAUCUGCCUUUUGGUUCGGAAUAACUCGGGGAAACUUGAGCUAAUACCGGAUAAGCCCUUACGGGGAAAGAUUUAUCGCCAAAAGAUGAGCCCGCACUUGAUUAGCUUGUUGGUGAGGUAAAAGCUCACCAAGGCAACAAUCAAUAGCUGUUCUUAGAGGAAGACCAGCCACAUUGGGACUGAGACACGGCCCAGACUCCUACGGGAGGCAGCAGUGGGGAAUCUUGCACAAUGGGGGAAACCCUGAUGCAGCGAUGCCGCGUGAGUGAAGAAGGCCUUUGGGUUGUAAAACUCUUUCGUCGGGGAAGAAAAUGACUGUACCCGAAUAAGAAGGUCCGGCUAACUUCGUGCCAGCAGCCGCGGUAAUACGAAGGGACCUAGCGUAGUUCGGAAUUACUGGGCUUAAAGAGCUCGUAGGUGGUUAAAAAAGUUGGUGGUGAAAUCCCAAGGCUUAACCUUGGAACUGCCAUCAAAACUUUUUAGCUAGAGUGUGAUAGAGGAAAGUGGAAUUUCUAGUGUAGAGGUGAAAUUCGUAGAUAUUAGAAAGAACACCAAAUGCGAAGGCAACUUUCUGGAUCACUACUGACACUGAGGAGCGAAAGCAUGGGUAGCGAAGAGGAUUAGAUACCCUCGUAGUCCAUGCUGUAAACGAUGUGUGCUAGACGUUGGAAAUUUUAUUUUCAGUGUCGCAGCAAAAGCGUUAAGCACACCGCCUGGGGAGUACGACC